rnacentral:rRNA from 1 species
AGCGAACGCUGGCGGCAGGCCUAACACAUGCAAGUCGAACGAACUCUUCGGAGUUAGUGGCGGACGGGUGAGUAACACGUGGGAACGUGCCCUUAGGUUCGGAAUAACUCCGGGAAACUUGUGCUAAUACCGAAUGUGGUCUUCGGGGGAAAGAUUUAUCGCCUUUUGAUGGGCCCGCGUUGGAUUAGCUAGUUGGUAGGGUAAAAGCCUACCAAGGCGACGAUCCAUAGCUGGUCUGAGAGGAUGAUCAGCCACACUGGGACUGAGACACGGCCCAAACUCCUACGGGAGGCAGCAGUGGGGAAUAUUGCGCAAUGGGCGAAAGCCUGACGCAGCCAUGCCGCGUGAAUGAUGAAGGUCUUAGGAUUGUAAAAUUCUUUCACCGGGGACGAUAAUGACGGUACCCGGAGAAGAAGCCCCGGCUAACUUCGUG